UACGGAGGGGGCAAGCGUUACUCGGAAUUAUUGGGCGUAAAGGGCGCGUAGGCGAUUUGAAAAGUCUUGUGUGAAAGCCCCGAGCUUAACUCGGGAAGUGCACAAGAAACUGUUGAAUUUGAGUUCCGGAGAGGAAGGCAGAAUUCCCGGUGUAGCGGUGAAAUGCGUAGAUAUCGGGAGGAAUACCAGUGGCGAAGGCGGUUCUCUGGGACGGUACUGACGCUGAGACGCGAAAGCGUGGGGAGCGAACAGG
rnacentral:rRNA from 1 species